GGCUCACCAGCUCGCUGGCCGGGAUGGUCUCAAAGCGAACAUGCGACAGAAGCUCUGCGGCGUGAACCUGACGGGAGGCGUCAAAGUCGAGCCACUUCAUGGCGAGCUGGGGGAGGAGAUGACAUCACUGGCUGGUCUGGGGCCUGUUUUUAGUCCUGGAUGAAAAUAGAAGGAAGUCCCAGAGGGUCAGCAAGUUAACACUGCAAGUGUCAGGAGUCGCCUCCUAGAAGACCCGACACUUCUUCUCAGUGAGGACCUGAGAAGUUGAUAUUAUGUUCCCCCAAAUUCACAGCGGUGACCUCUGAAGGCAGCAGCAGUGAGUCGUCCUGCAGGAAGGCCGAGAUCUGCUCCAGGGUCAGCUGGUUGAAGAGCGGUGUCUCUGCAAACUGCACAAAGUUCUCCAGCACAAAGCGGCGGGCGGCGUCGCACACGG